rnacentral:rRNA from 1 species
CAUAGGUUAAUGAGGCGAACCGGGGGAACUGAAACAUCUAAGUACCCCGAGGAAAAGAAAUCAACCGAGAUUCCCCCAGUAGCGGCGAGCGAACGGGGAGCAGCCCAGAGCCUGAAUCAGUGUGUGUGUUAGUGGAAGCGUCUGGAAAGGCGCGCGAUACAGGGUGACAGCCCCGUACACAAAAAUGCACAUACUGUGAGCUCGAUGAGUAGGGCGGGACACGUGGUAUCCUGUCUGAAUAUGGGGGGACCAUCCUCCAAGGCUAAAUACUCCUGACUGACCGAUAGUGAACCAGUACCGUGAGGGAAAGGCGAAAAGAACCCCGGCGAGGGGAGUGAAAAAGAACCUGAAACCGUGUACGUACAAGCAGUGGGAGCACGCUUAGGCGUGUGACUGCGUACCUUUUGUAUAAUGGGUCAGCGACUUAUAUUCUGUAGCAAGGUUAACCGAAUAGGGGAGCCGAAGGGAAACCGAGUCUUAACUGGGCGUUAAGUUGCAGGGUAUAGACCCGAAACCCGGUGAUCUAGCCAUGGGCAGGUUGAAGGUUGGGUAACACUAACUGGAGGACCGAACCGACUAAUGUUGAAAAAUUAGCGGAUGACUUGUGGCUGGGGGUGAAAGGCCAAUCAAACCGGGAGAUAGCUGGUUCUCCCCGAAAGCUAUUUAGGUAGCGCCUCGUGAAUUCAUCUCCGGGGGUAGAGCACUGUUUCGGCAAGGGGGUCAUCCCGACUUACCAACCCGAUGCAAACU